GCUGUAGCUCAGUGGCAGAGCAUCUGAUUUGCCUGCAGAAGGUCCCUGCUUCAAUCCCUGGCAUCUCCA